AAUGGGCGCAAGCCUGAUGCAGCCAUGCCGCGUGUAUGAAGAAGGCCUUCGGGUUGUAAAGUACUUUCAGCGAGGAGGAAGGCGUUAAGGUUAAUAACCUUGGCGAUUGACGUUACUCGCAGAAGAAGCACCGGCUAACUCCGUGCCAGCAGCCGCGGUAAUACGGAGGGUGCAAGCGUUAAUCGGAAUUACUGGGCGUAAAGCGCACGCAGGCGGUCUGUUAAGUCAGAUGUGAAAUCCCCGGGCUCAACCUGGGAACUGCAUUUGAAACUGGCAGGCUUGAGUCUUGUAGAGGGGGGUAGAAUUCCAGGUGUAGCGGUGAAAUGCGUAGAGAUCUGGAGGAAUACCGGUGGCGAAGGCGGCCCCCUGGACAAAGACUGACGCUCAGGUGCGAAAGCGUGGGGAGCAAA
rnacentral:rRNA from 1 species